rnacentral:rRNA from 1 species
GACGAACGCUGGCGGCGUGCUUAACACAUGCAAGUCGAACGGAAAGGCCCUGCUUUUGUGGGGUGCUCGUGUGGCGAACGGGUGUGUAACACGUGUGUAUCCUGCCCUUGUCUUUGGGAUAACUUCAGGAAACUGGGGCUAUUACCGGAUAUGAGCUCCUGCUGCAUGGUGGGGGUUGGUAAGUUUCGGCGGUUGGGGAUGGACUCGCGGCUUAUCAGCUUGUUGGUGGGGUAGUGGCUUACCAAGGCUUUGACGGGUAGCCGGCCUGUGAGGGUGACCGGCCACAGUGGGACUGAGAUACGGCCCAGACGGCAACGGGAGGCAGGAGUGGGGAAUAGAGCACAAUGGGCGGAAGCAGGAUGCAGGAACGCCGCGUGCGGGAUGACGGCCUUCGGGUAGUAAACAGAGUUGGAGUGUGAAGAAGAGAGAGUGACGGUAAUGGGUAAAGAAGCACCGGCUAACUACGUG